UUUUCUUAUUGGAAUGUUUGGGACAGUGAUACCGUGAUAAUGAAAAUUUGGAACACCGUACAGAUACUUUGUGGAAAUCAACGCGAAUUAGCACGAGCCAAAAAUAUGAAAAAAACUGCAAAGAAAUCUGCUGGUGAACAAGACAGUAACAAAGGUCUCUCACUAGAACAGCGCAAAGCACGAGACGCAGAGCGAAUGAGAGAAAAACA